rnacentral:rRNA from 2 species
GUCGAGCGGACCGACGGGAGCUUGCUCCCUUAGGUCAGCGGCGGACGGGUGAGUAACACGUGGGUAACCUGCCUGUAAGACUGGGAUAACUCCGGGAAACCGGGGCUAAUACCGGAUGCUUGUUUGAACCGCAUGGUUCAAACAUAAAAGGUGGCUUUUCGCUACCACUUACAGAUGGACCCGCGGCGCAUUAGCUAGUUGGUGGGGUAACGGCUCACCAAGGCGACGAUGCGUAGCCGACCUGAGAGGGUGAUCGGCCACACUGGGACUGAGACACGGCCCAGACUCCUACGGGAGGCAGCAGUAGGGAAUCUUCCGCAAUGGACGAAAGUCUGACGGAGCAACGCCGCGUGAGUGAUGAAGGUUUUCGGAUCGUAAAACUCUGUUGUUAGGGAAGAACAAGUACCGUUCGAACAGGGCGGUACCUUGACGGUACCUAACCAGAAAGCCACGGCUAACUACGUGCCAGCAGCCGCGGUAAUACGUAGGUGGCAAGCGUUGUCCGGAAUUAUUGGGCGUAAAGCGCGCGCAGGCGGUUCUUUAAGUCUGAUGUGAAAGCCCCCGGCUCAACCGGGGAGGGUCAUUGGAAACUGGGGAACUUGAGUGCAGAAGAGGAGAGUGGAAUUCCACGUGUAGCGGUGAAAUGCGUAGAGAUGUGGAGGAACACCAGUGGCGAAGGCGACUCUCUGGUCUGUAACUGACGCUGAGGCGCGAAAGCGUGGGGAGCGAACAGGAUUAGAUACCCUGGUAGUCCACGCCGUAAACGAUGAGUGCUAAGUGUUAGAGGGUUUCCGCCCUUUAGUGCUGCAGCAAACGCAUUAAGCACUCCGCCUGGGGGAGUACGGUCGCAAGACUGAAACUCAAAGGAAUUGACGGGGGCCCGCACAAGCGGUGGAGCAUGGUGGUUUAAUUCGAAGCAACGCGAAGAACCUUACCAGGUCUUGACAUCCUCUGACAACCCUAGAAGAUAGGGCUUCCCCUUCGGGGGCAGAGUGACAGGUGGGUGCAUGGUUGUCGUCAGCUCGUGUCGUGAGAUUGUUGGGGUUAAGUCCCGCAACGAGCGCAACCCUUGAUCUUAGUUGCCAGCAUUCAGUUGGG